rnacentral:rRNA from 1 species
AGAGUUUGAUCAUGGCUCAGAACGAACGCUGGCGGCAGGCUUAACACAUGCAAGUCGAACGCACCGCAAGGUGAGUGGCAGACGGGUGAGUAACGCGUGGGAACCUUCCCUAUGGUACGGAAUAACUUCGGGAAACCGAAGCUAAUACCGUAUAUCUCCUCCGGGAGAAAGAUUUAUCGCCAUAGGAUGGGCCCGCGUUGGAUUAGCUAGUUGGUAGGGUAAAAGCCUACCAAGGCAACGAUCCAUAGCUGGUCUGAGAGGAUGAUCAGCCACACUGGGACUGAGACACGGCCCAGACUCCUACGGGAGGCAGCAGUGGGGAAUAUUGGACAAUGGGCGCAAGCCUGAUCCAGCCAUGCCGCGUGAGUGAAGAAGGCCUUAGGGUUGUAAAGCUCUUUCGCUAGGGACGAUAAUGACGGUACCUAGAUAAGAAGCCCCGGCUAACUUCGUGCCAGCAGCCGCGGUAAUACGAAGGGGGCUAGCGUUGUUCGGAAUUACUGGGCGUAAAGCGCACGCAGGCGGAUUGAUAAGUCAGGGGUGAAAUCCCGGGGCUCAACCUCGGAAUUGCCUUUGAUACUGUCUGUCUUCGAGUUCGGGAGAGGUUGGCGGAAUUCCUAGUGUAGAGGUGAAAUUCGUAGAUAUUAGGAAGAACACCAGUGGCGAAGGCGGCCAACUGGCCCGAUACUGACGCUCAUGUGCGAAAGCGUGGGGAGCAAACAGGAUUAGAUACCCUAGUAGUCC